rnacentral:rRNA from 1 species
GACAGAGGGGGCAAGCGUUGCUCGGAAUUACUGGGCGUAAAGGGCGCGUAGGCGGGAUGGCAAGUCGGUCGUGAAAUCCCUCGGCUCAACUGAGGAUCGUCGAUCGAUACUGCCGUUCUUGAGGAUUGCAGAGGAGACUGGAAUUCCCGGUGUAGCGGUGAAAUGUGUAGAUAUGCGGAGGAACACCGAUGGCGAAGGCAGUCCCCUGGGCCUGCACUGACGCUCAUGCACGAAAGCGUGGGGAGCGAACAGG